rnacentral:rRNA from 1 species
AACGUAGGAGGCGAGCGUUAUCCGGAUUUACUGGGCGUAAAGCGCACGCAGGUGGCUGUGUAAGUCGGACAUGAAAGCUCCUGGCUUAACUAGGGGAGGUGGUUCGAAACUGCAUGGCUUGAGGUUGGGAGAGGGACGUGGAAUUCCCGGUGUAGUGGUGGAAUGCGUAGAUAUCGGGAGGAACACCAGUGGCGCAAGCGGCGUCCUGGCCCACACCUGACGCUGAGGUGCGAAAGCGUGGGGAGCAAACAGG